CACGUAGGGGGCAAGCGUUGUCCGGAUUUAUUGGGCGUAAAGAGCUCGUAGGCGGUUCGCUAAGUCGGGUGUGAAACCUCCAGGCUUAACCGGGGAACUGCACCUGAUACUGGAUGGCUUGAGUUUGGGAGAGGGAUGCGGAAUUCCAGGUGUAGCGGUGAAAUGCGUAGAUAUCUGGAGGAACACCGGUGGCGAAGGCGGCAUCCUGGACCAACACUGACGCUGAGGAGCGAAAGCCAGGGGAGCAAACGGG
rnacentral:rRNA from 1 species